GGCAAAGAUGAUUGAUGCUUAUUUCUGACACCUCUUGUAUGAGAGUUUUCUCUAUUUAGAGAUUAUUCCUUGAGCAAAUAUAGCAAAUAUCUGAGCU